rnacentral:tRNA from 1 species
GGGGAUGUAGCUUAGUUGGGAGAGCGCCGCCUUUGCAAGGCGGAGGUCGUGGGUUCGAAUCCCAUCAUCUCCA